rnacentral:misc_RNA from 1 species
GAUGAAGAACGUAGCGAAAUGCGAUAAGUAAUGUGAAUUGCAGAAUUCAGUGAAUCAUCGAAUCUUUGAACGCAUAUUGCGCCCCUUGGUAUCCCGAGGGGCAUGCCUGUUCGAGCGUCAUUUCACCACUCAAGCCUGGCUUGGUGUUGGGCGACGUCCUCUUUGGGGACGCGCCUCGAAACGCUCGGCGGCGUGGCACCGGCUUUAAGCGUAGCAGAAUCUUUCGCUUUGGAAGUCGGGGCCCCGUCUGCCGGAAGACCUGCUCGCAAGGUUGACCUCGGAUCAGGCAGGGAUACCCGCUGAACUUAAGCAUAUCAAUAAGCGGAGGA